rnacentral:lncRNA from 1 species
CAGAAUAAUGGCCCGGUCUCUCAAAUCGAAUAGCCGUCCAAGAGAAUAAUGUCCCUGUCUCUCAAAGCCAGAAUAAUGCCCCGUGUCUCUCUCUAAGCAGGAAUAUUGCCCUGUGUCUCUCAAAGCAGAAUCAUGCCCCGUGCUCUCAAAGCGGAAUAAUGUCCCGUGUCUCUCAAAGCGGAAUAAUGUCCCGUGUCUCUCAAAGCAGAAUAAUGCCCGGUCUCUCAAAGCAUAUAUGCCCGGUCUCUCA